UGAAUAAUUGAAUAAAUUACCCUGAGAUGAGAGUGAUGAAAUAUAUUAUGGACAAACAUGAAUAAAGAAAAGUGUAACGUAAGGACCUCUGAGCAUGGACUCUUGUCUUCAAAAGAAUUUUUCCAGAUAGACAGUACAGUGGACGAGUCAAGGAACGCUUUCAUGCCGAAUUGAUCUGUCACACUGAGCAUCGGAGUGGAGGGCGGCAUGGGUCUACGCACCUCUGACCAGUGACACUCCAGACCAGCAGUAGCAUGUCUGCAGGUUCGGACUUCGAUACCUGAAUGCAUGUUCUGGCCGGGUGUUGAUAUCACUGAUGACAUCAGAUUCCAGCUGACACACCACCACUCGAGUCAGUGUAGAAUUAUGACACUGUACUAUGACUACAGUAAUGCAUCAAGACAGCAGCACUCAAGCAAAUAAUUAAAUACAUCAUUGUGCAGAAGCUCAUGGAGAAAACUGGAGACUUCCACCAUAUAAGAACAUUUGGAAACAAAUAACAAAAAACCUUUAAUUUGAAAAUAUAGUGAUCACAUUUGUGCCCACAGUAAUAAGGUUUGAAUAAACAGCCAACACAAAACUAAA